rnacentral:rRNA from 1 species
UGCCUCGCAAGAGGAGCUUGGAGACAGGUGCUGCAUGGCUGUCGUCAGCUCGUGUCGUGAGAUGUUGGGUUAAGUCCCGCAACGAGCGCAACCCUUGUCUUUAGUUGCCAUCAUUUAGUUGGGCACUCUAAAGAGACUGCCGGUGUCAAACCGGAGGAAGGUGGGGAUGACGUCAAGUCCUCAUGGCCUUUAUGACCAGGGCUACACACGUACUACAAUGGCCGGUACAAAGGGCAGCCACUUAGCGAUAAGGAGCCAAUCCCGUAAAGCCGGUCUCAGUCCGGAUUGGAGUCUGCAACUCGACUCCAUGAAGUUGGAAUCGCUAGUAAUCGCAGAUCAGCACGCUGCGGUGAAUACGUUCCCGGGCCUU